GAUAGCGAAGAGGUCACACCCGUUCCCAUACCGAACACGGAAGUUAAGCUCUUCAGCGCCGAUGGUAGUUGGGGGUUUCCCCCUGUGAGAGUAGGACGCCGCCAAGCU
rnacentral:rRNA from 3 species